AACGAACGCUGGCGGCAUGCCUAACACAUGCGAGUCGAACGAGACCUUCGGGUCUAGUGGCGCACGGGUGCGUAACGCGUGGGAAUCUACCCUUGGGUUCGGAAUAACUCAGAGAAAUUUGAGCUAAUACCGGAUGAUGUCGAAAGACCAAAGAUUUAUCGCCCAAGGAUGAGCCCGCGUAGGAUUAGCUAGUUGGUGAGGUAAAGGCUCACCAAGGCAACGAUCCUUAGCUGGUCUGAGAGGAUGAUCAGCCACACUGGGACUGAGACACGGCCCAGACUCCUACGGGAGGCAGCAGUGGGGAAUAUUGGACAAUGGGCGAAAGCCUGAUCCAGCAAUGCCGCGUGAGUGAUGAAGGCCUUAGGGUUGUAAAGCUCUUUUGCCCGGGAUGAUAAUGACAGUACCGGGAGAAUAAGCCCCGGCUAACCCCGUG
rnacentral:rRNA from 1 species